GAGAUUCCUUUGGCAGCUCAAAUAUUAAAUUGGAACAAUACAAAGAAGAUUAACAUGGCCACUGUGCAAGAGGGAUACUCAAAUUCAUGAAGUGGUCCAUUUUUUU